rnacentral:rRNA from 1 species
ACGGGAGGCAGCAGUGGGGAAUAUUGGACAAUGGGGGAAACCCUGAUCCAGCGACGCCGCGUGAGUGAAGAAGUAUUUCGGUAUGUAAAGCUCUAUCAGCAAGGAAGAAAAUGACGGUACUUGACUAAGAAGCCCCGGCUAACUACGUGCCAGCAGCCGCGGUAAUACGUAGGGGGCAAGCGUUAUCCGGAUUUACUGGGUGUAAAGGGAGCGUAGACGGCAUAGCAAGUCUGAAGUGAAAUGCAUGGGCUCAACCCAUGAACUGCUUUGGAAACUGUUAAGCUAGAGUGCGGGAGAGGUAAGUGGAAUUCCUAGUGUAGCGGUGAAAUGCGUAGAUAUUAGGAGGAACACCAGUGGCGAAGGCGGCUUACUGGACUGUAACUGACGUUGAGGCUCGAAAGCGUGGGGAGCAAACAGGAUUAGAUACCCUGGUA